rnacentral:rRNA from 1 species
UGGGGAAUAUUGGACAAUGGGCGAAAGCCUGAUCCAGCCAUGCCGCGUGUGUGAAGAAGGUCUUCGGAUUGUAAAGCACUUUAAGUUGGGAGGAAGGGUACUUACCUAAUACGUGAGUAUUUUGACGUUACCGACAGAAUAAGCACCGGCUAACUCUGUGCCAGCAGCCGCGGUAAUACAGAGGGUGCAAGCGUUAAUCGGAAUUACUGGGCGCAAAGCGCGCGUAGGUGGUUUGUUAAGUUGGAUGUGAAAGCCCCUGGCUCAACCUGGGAACUGCAUCCAAAACUGGACAGCUAGAGUAUGGUAGAGGGUGGUGGAAUUUCCGGUGUAGCGGUGAAAUGCGUAGAUAUUGGGAGGAACACCAGUGGCGAAGGCGACCACCUGGACUGAUACUGACACUGAGGUGCGAAAGCGUGGGGAGCAAACA